rnacentral:lncRNA from 1 species
CUGCUUCUGUCUUCUGAGUAACUGGGACUACAGACAUGUGCAACUGUGCCUGGCAGAUUUUUUUUUUAAUUGUUAGAGUGGCAUGAGGAAGGACUGUCUGUGGGCGUGCAACAGAAAGCACUGUAUUUGGAGUCUAAAGACACAGGUUCAUCUGCAGCAAAGACCCUGUGCCUGCUUUGUAACAUCAAGGGGUUCAUAUGAGAAGCAAUGUUACUUUAAAAUGCAAUUUAUUUAUAUUCUCUUACAAGAAUAAAUUUGAGGUGGCCUAUUCAAAGAAAUCUUGUUGAAAUAUUUUGUAAUCCAGGAACUACAUAUAUAUAUGUUAAAUAUGUGUGUGUGUGUGUGUGUGUGUGUGUGUGUGUGUGUGUGUGUAUUUAACAUUUACCUCCCCCGAAAAUUUAAGACCUCCCCUCCAACUUAAGUUACUUUCAUGUGACCAAAUUGCACAGUUUAUUA